UCCCUAGUGGCUCAGAUGGUAAAGCAUCUGCCUGCAAUGAGGGAGACCCAGGUUCAUUCCCUGGUUUGGGAA
rfam:Ovis aries breed Texel chromosome 3, whole genome shotgun sequence.